rnacentral:rRNA from 1 species
CUGCUGCCUUCCGUAGGAGUCUGGGCCGUGUCUCAGUCCCAAUGUGGCCGGCCAACCUCUCAGUCCGGCUACUGAUCGUCGCCUUGGUGGGCCGUUACCCCGCCAACUAGCUAAUCAGACGCGAGUCCAUCUCAGAGCGAUAAAUCUUUGAUGCCCAGUGCCAUGCGACACAGACAUAUUAUGCGGUAUUAGCAGCUGUUUCCAACUGUUAUUCCCCACUCCAAGCAGGUUA